CUCUAAUCCCCUGAAGGUAGAUUAAAUCGUUCAUUCUUACAUUCCGUUGACACUGCAUUAUUAGCUUCUAUAUGUGAGCCUUGCAGCUUAGCUGAUUGGGAGUGAACACAAUU
rnacentral:snoRNA from 1 species